rnacentral:rRNA from 1 species
UAGGGAAUCUUCCGCAAUGGGCGCAAGCCUGACGGAGCAAUGCCGCGUGUGUGAAGAAGGUCUUCGGAUCGUAAAGCACUGUUAUUAGAGAAGAACAACCAGUAGAGUAACUGCUACUGGCUUGACGGUAUCUAACCAGAAAGCCACGGCUAACUACGUGCCAGCAGCCGCGGUAAUACGUAGGUGGCAAGCGUUGUCCGGAUUUAUUGGGCGUAAAGGGAGCGCAGGCGGUGAUUUAAGUCUGAUGUGAAAGCCCACGGCUCAACCGUGGAAGGUCAUUGGAAACUGGAUCACUUGAGUGCAGAAGAGGAAAGCGGAAUUCCAUGUGUAGCGGUGAAAUGCGUAGAUAUAUGGAGGAACACCAGUGGCGAAGGCGGCUUUCUGGUCUGUAACUGACGCU